AUUGAACGCUGGCGGCAGGCCUAACACAUGCAAGUCGAGCGGAUGAGAGGAGCUUGCUUCUCGAUUCAGCGGCGGACGGGUGAGUAAUGCCUAGGAAUCUGCCAGGUAGUGGGGGACAACGUUUCGAAAGGAACGCUAAUACCGCAUACGUCCUACGGGAGAAAGCAGGGGACCUCCGGGCCUUGCGCUUGCAGAUGAGCCUAGGUCGGAUUAGCUAGUUGGUGAGGUAAUGGCUCACCAAGGCGACGAUCCGUAACUGGUCUGAGAGGAUGAUCAGUCACACUGGAACUGAGACACGGUCCAGACUCCUACGGGAGGCAGCAGUGGGGAAUAUUGGACAAUGGGCGAAAGCCUGAUCCAGCCAUGCCGCGUGUGUGAAGAAGGUCUUCGGAUUGUAAAGCACUUUAAGUUGGGAGGAAGGGUUGUAGAUUAAUACUCUGCAAUUUUGACGUUACCGACAGAAUAAGCACCGGCUAACUCUGUGCCAGCAGCCGCCGUAACAC
rnacentral:rRNA from 1 species